GUGAUUUUUUUUUGGUCUUUACAAGUUUACAACCCUAAUCGUCUGCCGCACCUCUUCCUCUCUGUGUUCUCUUUCUCUGCAGUUUUUCUUCUGCAACAGAAAUCGAGCCAUAACUUUGAUCUGCUAUUCAAUCCCGCUAAUCCAGUUACCAAAAAUAUGGUGGUUUUGCAGGUGAUGGACAAUGUUAGGGUUGAAGAUGGAAGACAAUAAAACCGUGGAAUCUAUCAAAGUAAGACUACUGAUUUCCAGGGUAUUGAUUUGAUCUGUUUUGUUUUGGGUUCAAUUUCUAAGAAGAUUUGAAGCUCUGUUAGAGUUUGUUGAUUAUUUUGGAGCUGAGAUAUGUGUUGAUUGCUACGUGUAGUUGCAGAUGAAAAGUUAGGAUUUGAUGUUGAAGACUUGAAUCAAAUCGAGAAAUGAAUUAUCUGAGAAGGAAUAAGUGUCUCAAGUUCAGAUAAUGAAGAAUUAGGGCAAGAAUCCAAUAGACUUCAAUUGCUGACAUUAUGUUAUAUUCCAUUCUUUCUUAGAUUUGUGCUUCAAAAAUACUGCGAAAGUCUGAUCUCAUUUCCAUUUGAACUUAAUGGAAGGAUACCCUAAUAGAGAUCUUAGUUAUUUAGAAUUAGUGAUCAAAAGUGCAUGUUUGGGAGGAUUUUCUAUCUCUGGAACUCACAAUUCGGUAGGGUUUUAGUACAGUCUAUAGUAACUAGCAUGUAGCACAAAUUUAUCUUUGCAAGAGCUGACAAAUUCUAGUUCAGAUAAGGCUUAAAUAACAGAUUGCAGAAGGAGCACAGAAUGGAGUAUAGUAUCAGGUCGUCCCGUCCUGGUAAUAUAUCUAUCUCUAAUAUAUUUUUGAACAAGGGUCUAACACCAGCUGCAAUGUCUCCAUUUGUUUUGCAAUGGGUGUCUAACAACCAAUUGAUUGUUUGGUUGCAAUGCCUCUUGCAUUUUGGUGAUAUGUUGAAAUACCAGUUCUAGUCUCUUGCUUAUCUGGUGCUAAUUUUAUCUUGCAUUUGGAUUUGUUUUAUUGCUGCUGGCAUAACUCAUAAGUUGUCUUGGCAGACAGAAUAUUCCUGAAUGAACAAUUGCUCAUUCAUCAUAAUAGUAUUUUCUUCCGGCGGAGCUUUGUCUUAAACUUUUGAAUCUAGAAAAACAUGGUUAAAAAUAUGACUUCUGUCUUCUCUUGCAAAUCCAGAUACUUUAUGUUAAACUUUCUGUUUGUUAUUGUUAAAUAGCUUAAGACGGGUAAUCAAAUUGCAAAUCCAGAUACUUUAUAUGAUGGACAAUAACAAACAGAAAGCUAACCCUUGGGCAGCAAAAAGAUGGUUUGCGUAAGACGGGUCAUCAAAUUGCAAAUCCAGAUACUUGGAUAUUAAUGGAAGUUAACUCAUCCUGCAGUACGCAUAAGUUGGGAAGGAAAAUUUUAAGUAUUCGGAGAGGCUGCACACUGGAGGACAAUGCAAGGUGAAUCUCAUGCGGGUAAUGAUGAGCUUCUAGAAGAAAUAAAAUUGCCACCAAAUAGAGAUGAUUUCUCUUCCUCCUGAAAGGAAAGUAUGGUCUUCUUACAUGCUUUUGGAUUGUCAAACAGUCUUUCAUUUGUUUUGGAACAAUCCUAUCUAACUGUAUCCUUUGCUAACUCAGAUGGUGGAAGAAUCGUGGCCAUAAUCUUGUGAAUCAAAUACAAGAUUAUAGAUGUAGUAGCUGCAUAAAGUAUGGUUUCCAUCGAAAAGACUAGCACCACAGGAAAUUGAAUGCUUAAUUGUUUUGUAAGGAUAAGUUCUUCAUUUGUGAACAUUUGUAUAUUAAACUGUAAGGCUUGGUAGGAUUGCUUGAUAGGAUAAGAACUGAUUAAUUUUGUUAAAUAUAAUCUAAGCAUCAAACAUGGUUUUAAUCUCCUUAUACUACUAA